AACGAACGCUGGCGGCAGGCCUCAAACAUGCAAGUCUAGGGGAUGUAGCAAUACAUCACCGGCGGACGGGUGCGUAACGCGUGGGAAUGUACCUAUUGGUUCGGAACAACUGAGGGAAACUUCAGCUAAUACCGGAUGAGCCCGUAAGGGGAAAGAUUUCUCGCCAAUAGAUCAGCCCGCGUCCGAUUAGCUAGUUGGUGGGGUUAUGGCCUACCAAGGCGACGAUCGGUAGCUGUUCUGAGAGGAAGAUCAGCCACACUGGGACUGAGA
rnacentral:rRNA from 1 species